AUAUUAAAUUAACAUGAGUUUAUGUUUAGAUUUCUAUGAUUUUUAUCAAUAUCCCAUAUAACAGGCAUAUGGUAUUUGUGGGGUUUCAAAUCUCUCUCUCUCUCUCUCUCUCUCUCUCUCUCUCUCUCUCUCUCUCUCUCUCUCUCUCUCUCUCUCUCUUUCUCUCUCCGUCUGUCUGUGUUCUUGUUUGGAAGAACUAUUUGGAAGAAAUUCAAGAUUUCAAGGACGCACGGAUUUGAAUUUAACUGGAGAGGCUGAGAGCUGAGGGGAAGAGUGACAUAAAGAGGAGAGAAGUUCAUUAUCCAGCUGAAAAGGAAACCAAUGGCUUUCACAGUCUCCAUGGGAACCAGCCUUUCUUUUGCUGUCAAACCUAUGAUAAGAAACCCUCUCCUUUCUCCCACUCCAAGGCAGCCCUUUUCAAACCGGGAAGCUCCAGGUCAGUUUCCCUUUCCAAGUUUUACGGCCUGCCAUGUUGUCCAUUCUGCUCAGCUAUUUAAAAAAUGUUGAAUAUCAACAAUGGCUUUCACUGGUGUAUUGUCAACUUUUGUAUGAAGCAAUCUUGGCUGAAUGAGAUGGGUCCCAGAGCAGGGAGGGCUUGGCUGCGGCAUGCACCGCAACACCACUGGCGCCUGCCUGGCUCUCUCUCUCUCUCUCUCUCUCUCUCUCUCUGCUGCAGGCAGGAUCAGGGAGGCAGGAGCAGCCGUCCCUCUAGUCCCUGUCUCAGCCCAGCCGCUGGGGUCUGGAUGGGGCUGGGAAAGCCACCCCCUCGUCAGUCCUCUCUGCAAACUCAUCCUCAUCUCAGGUUCCCCUCCCCCUGCCUCUGGCCCUGUCGUCUGGGAGCCCCUGAAGGUGUGACACCUCACACAGGAAUCGGAGAGCAGGAGCCCGGGGGCCAGUCAGAGCUGGGUAGCCGUGCCAACCCCAUUGGAGAUGUAUGUUUGAAGAUAAUUGUAGGAAAUCCUCCACCCAACCCAGAGAAACCCUCUCCUGGUCAGCAGCAACCCUGGAGUACCCUACUACCUGACAGUGUUUUUCAGAAGUGUGGUGAGAGAGAGGAGCGUCAGAAACAUGAAACCUAAGAUAGCAGAGUGGAAGAAGAGAACAAGUCGUUAGCACUUUGAAACCAGACACCGGGAGGUAUCAGAUCCAUUGGGUGGCUAAGGAUCAUGGGUAUAGUGUGUGUGUGUGUGUCAGCGUGUGUGCCUUCAUGCAUGUCGUGUGUGUGUGAAUGAGUGUGUGUGUGAAUGCGUGUGUGUGUGUGUGUGUGUGUGUAUGGGGAGGUGGAUGCUGACAGGGUCUCUCUCUCUCUUUCUCUCUCUCUCUGGUUGACUGGGUCACUCGGGGGCCCCGGACCCCACACAAUGCCCUGGCAGCAGUGUGGGCUUUACUGGGCCUCUACAGAGCAGCGCCGAGCUGCUAGCUUUACGAGAGACAGACGGAUGGAUCCCUUCACCUUGCACCAUAAAGCCACCAGUCACCAGAUAAAAGAGGGCAGAUGCGAGGGGAAGCAUUGAGAGCUCACCUGCACCCAGCAGGGAACAGCCUCUAUCCAGCCAACCCAAGAGGGCCUCUACAUUCAGCCUCCUCUCACUAACACCACUAAUAGGGAACAGGGGCACUGUCAAAUAAGAGGAGAAUCCUUCCUUGUUUUGGAUGGCCUGGGAUCCUUAUUAGCUGUUAGUGCUAGAACACAGCUAUACUGGUGAAGAGUUCAGUGCAGUUAACACGGAUGUUGACAGUGCAGGGCAGAGCAGGCUGCAACAGGUUGCUGCUAAAAGCUGUAAUUACAGUAUGAUCUGGAGACUCUAGUUACUGGGAGAUUGAGAGUGGUGGGAUCCUUGUGAAAAGUGCCAAUUCUGAAUGUAUUUUUAAGAGGCACUUGUUGGAGGGAGAACAUGGUUAGGUAACAGGUUGAUCAGGAGUCUGACAGGGAAUGGGACAUACAGACAGACUAACUGACAGAGGGUCAGGAUUGGAGACAGGAGGCAGGCAAGGUGGCAGAUGGGCUAAGCGACAGACAGAGACAGGUAGGCAUGGACUCAUGGAGCCAGGCAGUCAGGGAGGCAAGCUGUCAGCGAGGGCAGACCCACCCUGGGUAGCUUCUGCCUUCCCUGUUGGAGUGACAGAUGUGUGGUGAAUCUUUAGCUCUCCUCACAGCUCCUCACUCCCCAGUGUCACCGCAUCUGUCCCCUCCUCAGUCCCCCUUGGCUCAGCCCCCUCCUGUGUAAAUGCAGGACAACAAAAAUGAGUUCAGUGGACUUAUUGAUUAGUCCAGCCUGCACUGGCUAGCUUCAUUUAUUGACCUCUGGGACUCAUUAUUGACAAGGCUUUGUCUUUGUGAUUUGUUCAAAAUUUCACUGGGCACAUGGGAACCUUGUGUCUCACACAGUAGGAUAAUUUAAACAGAACAUCUGUAGCCUAGCGGAUCAAUGCAAAAAUGUGCAUGUUGAUCUACAGUGCAGAACUAUGAGCAUAUUUGAAUAUGUUGACAUGGAUCAAGCAGAUAAACAAACAUUUGGACAAUGAUAAGUGGGUCAUGUUUGUGGGACAACAACAACAGAAAAGAAGAGGUCAGCGUAUGCUCUCAACCGAACACAACGUCCUGUCUCAUUGUCUGCCUUAAACCCCACUGUAAAAAACAUAUACUGCCUCGGCCAUAGUAGAUAGUAAGUAGCAUUUUAUCCUCAUCAGUCUAAUUUCUCAGACGCCUCAAUGUUAAAGGGUCUGGACUCGCCGUCCCCCAGCCCCUGUCCCUCUCUCCCGCUCAGCCUGGCCCUGGCGAGAGAUGGUUUAUUUAAAUUGAAAAUUAGCAAAACAAAACAAGGGCAAGAGGAUCCCUGAAUGGGGCCCCUUUCUCUGGGAGCUCCUGUGCCGUUGAAUAAUGCAUAUGGGAGAAAGUAAACAGCAGCCUCGGGCUCCGUCCAAGGAACAAUGGGCCGCACACAGUCCAACCACGGCGCCUGAUUUUAUUACGGGCCCUGUCAGUCCCCUCCUCCCUCCAUCCAUCCCUCCCUCCAGUACCUCCUCUAGCCUGGGAAUCGUGGAACGCAGGCCAGGCAGCAGCUGCUGACCGCUCCGCACUGACCCAACACACUCCGCGACCUGCAGGAUAACUCCACACACACACUCCCUCCCAGCCAGCACACACCACCACUGCAUACCUCGACUGUCACAGCCUGCAUGCCUGCCUACCACCACUACAGUGCAUACAUAUACUCAGUCACACCAGGCAGCAACUGGUUGGCCACAUCCAGAUGGUGUCUUGUGAGGAAAUGUUUGAAUUAGAUGAAUGUUUGAAACAUAUGGAAUUUAUGAAUGACUGACUCAUUUAGCCUGAGGAAAAUAUCAGACUUCACCAACUCCAACCCCUAUUUCUGAGAUCUUGGCUUGGACAGUGCCGGGUCACUUUGGCCACUUGUGAACUUUUCUCUCCACUAGAACAUUCUGUCUGUGUGUGUUCUCUCUCUCUCCGAUCAGGCUGGCAUUGAGAUUCCGGUCUUGCUUCUGGCUUCAGCCUGGGCCGGUUGCCAUGCCGACAGGCAAAUUGGCUAGCAGGAUGAGUAGUGAUGUGAUGUGGCUGUGGCUUUAAAGUCCCAACAAAGACUGUAUUACAACCCAAUCUUUGCAUAACACACUAUUGUUGUCAUGUGCUACUGAUAUUAAUCCUCUUCCUGCUGCAGGAGACGUGUGUGUCUCUCUGUGGAAGGGUUUUGUGUGUAUGUACGUGAACGUGUGUGUAUGGCUGGACACCAGAAGUCACACUAAAGAUUAUCUACAGUCACAACGACUGAAGAUACAUACUGAAUAAAAUAAAGGAUUUUGCAAUGAUUUUGAUAGUGAAGUUAAUGUUUUAGUCAGUUUGUUGACAUUGCUCGCUCUCUCUCUCUCUCUCUCCUCAACAAUGUUCAUCAACAAUGUUCAUGAAACCUCCAUACUCCCCACCUCACCUAAGCAAACAUCCCUGGGCCCUAGGCCUGAGACGAGUCUAUAGCAGCCUGGCCUUAUAGACUCGUCCCUGAGUGUGAAGGGACAUAAAGAGAGGUGGAGGGGGGUCCCAGUAGCAGGAGCGCAUGACACCGGGCGGCUGCAGGAUGU
rnacentral:lncRNA from 1 species